rnacentral:rRNA from 1 species
UGUUGUUUUCUCGAAAAUCAAUUAAAAAAGGCGGGAUUUUGUGUUGUAUUGACUUUAUCAGCUUUCUGCACUCUUUUCUUGUCUUUUUUAAUGCACUUUUCGUUUAACAAGUCAACAUCAAUUUCUUUUGUUGUAAAAGGGUCAUUGGAAGGUGGCUUUCUUUUCGGAGAAAGUGUUUAUAGCCUUUGGCCUCUGCAAUCGGAGAGAUUGAGGUCUGCAGCGUAGAUCCUUCGGGGUUAGAUACAUUUGUGCUAAGUUAUAGCCUUUCAUAGACAACUUGUUGACUAUGAUCAGUCUUGUAGCUUACUCGCUUAUGCUAUUUACCUAC